rnacentral:rRNA from 1 species
GCAAGUCGAGGGGCAGCAUUUCCAGUUUGCUGGAAGAUGGCGACCGGCGCACGGGUGAGUAACGCGUAUGCAACCUACCUUACAUGGGGGGAUAGCCCAGAGAAAUCUGGAUUAAUACCGCAUGAUAUAUGUGAAUCGCAUGGUUAAAAUAUUAAAACUCCGGUGAUGUAAGAUGGGCAUGCGUAGCAUUAGUUAGUUGGUGAGGUAACGGCUUACCAAGACGAUGAUGCUUAGGGGGUCUGAGAGGAUAGUC